rnacentral:tRNA from 3 species
GCGCCCGUAGCUCAGUUGGAUAGAGCGAGGGUUUCCGAAGCCCUAGGUCGCAGGUUCGACUCCUGCCGGGCGUACCA